UACAGAGGGUGCAAGCGUUGCUCGGAAUUAUUGGGCGUAAAGGGUAGGUAGGUGGUCUCAUUUGUCUGGGGUGAAAUCCUUGGGCUUAACCCAAGAAGUGCCCCAGAAACGGUGAGACUGGAGUCCUGGAGAGGGUCGUGGAAUUCCCGGUGUAGCGGUGAAAUGCGUAGAGAUGCGGAGGAACACCGAUGGCGAAGGCAGCCCCCUGGGCCAACACUGACGCUCAGGCACGAAAGCGUGGGGAGCAAACAGG
rnacentral:rRNA from 1 species